rnacentral:tRNA from 1 species
CAGAGCGGUAGUUUAAGACGGAAAAAUAUAUCCCUGAAGGAUAGGUUGCCGGUUCGAUCCCGGUCUGUCUGG